rnacentral:rRNA from 1 species
GAGUUUGAUCGUGGCUCAGAUUGAACGCUGGCGGCAGGCCUAACACAUGCAAGUCGAGCGGUAGAGAGAAGCUUGCUUCUCUUGAGAGCGGCGGACGGGUGAGUAAUGCCUAGGAAUCUGCCCGGUAGUGGGGGAUAACGCUCGGAAACGGACGCUAAUACCGCAUACCGUCCUACGGGAGAAAGCAGGGGACCUUCGGGCCUUGCGCUAUCAGAUGAGCCUAGGUCGGAUUAGCUAGUUGGUGAGGUAAUGGCUCACCAAGGCGACGAUCCGUAACUGGUCUGAGAGGAUGAUCAGUCACACUGGAACUGAGACAC